UAGAGUUGAUCAUGGCUCAGGACGAACGCUGGCGGCGUGCUUAACACAUGCAAGUCGAGCGAGGUCCAUCCAGUGGCAACACUGGGGAAGACCUAGCGGCGAACGGGUGAGUAACACGUGAGCAACCGUGCCCCGAAUGACUGGGAUAACACCGGGAAACCGGUGCUAAUACCGGAUGUCCUCCUCUGGUCGCAUGGCCUAGGGAGGAAAGGAUUUUUGCUUCGGGAGGGGCUCGCGGGCUAUCAGCUUGUUGGUGGGGUAACGGCCCACCAAGCGACGACGGCUAGCUGGUCUGAGAGGACGACCAGCCACACUGGGACUGAGACACGGCCCAGACUCCUACGGGAGGCAGCAGUGGGGAAUCUUGCGCAAUGGGCGAAAGCCUGACGCAGCAACGCCGCGUGGGGGAUGAAGGCCCUCGGGUUGUAAACCCCUUUCAGCAGGACGAAUCUGACGGUACCUGCAGAAGAAGCCCCGGCCAACUACGUGCCAGCAGCCGCGGUAAUACGUAGGGGGCGAGCGUUGUCCGGAUUUAUUGGGCGUAAAGAGCUCGUAGGCGGCUUGGCAAGUCGGGUGUGAAAACUCCAGGCUCAACUGGAGACGCCACUCGAGACUGCAUGGCUAGAGUCCGGUAGGGGACCACGAAUUCCUGGUGUAGCGGUGAAUGCGCAGAUAUCAGAGGACACCGGUGGCGAGGCGGUGGUCUGGGCCGGACUGACGCUGAGCGAGCGAAGCGUGGGUAGCAAACAGAUUAGAUACCCUGGUAGUCACGCGUAAACGUCGGCACUAGUGUGGGGCCUUAUCC
rnacentral:rRNA from 1 species